UUAAGUUCAGCGGGUAUCCCUACCUGAUCCGAGGUCAAUCAUUGAAAAAAGUAAAGGUUCUUGGCAGAUCGCGGUGCGAAGGCUUCCAAAGCGGGAUAAGUUUUACUACGCUUGAAGUCACACCGGACCGCCACUCGUUUUCGGGCACGUCCGCGAGGACGAGGGCCCAACACCAAGCUACGCUUGAGGGGUGCAAUGAC
rnacentral:misc_RNA from 1 species